CAGUCUACACGGGCAGCGGGAGCUACGGCGCUUUGAGUUGCCAUUUGAUUGGCCCCGGUGUCCAGUGGUGUCCCCUGGGGGGAGCCCAGGGCCCAAUGAGGCAGUGCUGCCCAGUGAGGACCUAUCACAGAUUGGUUUCCCUGAGGGCCUUACACCUGCCCACCUAGGAGAACCUGGAGGGUCCUGCUGGGCUCACCAUUGGUGUGCUGCAUGGUCGGCAGGCGUAUGGGGGCAGGAGGGCCCAGAACUAUGUGGUGUGGACAAGGCCAUCUUCUCAGGGAUCUCACAGCGCUGCUCCCACUGCACCAGGCUCGGUGCCUCCAUCCCUUGCCGCUCACCUGGAUGUCCACGGCUUUACCACUUCCCCUGCGCGACUGCCAGCGGUUCCUUCCUAUCCAUGAAAACACUGCAGCUGCUAUGCCCAGAGCACAGUGAGGGGGCUGCACAUCUGGGUGAG
rnacentral:lncRNA from 1 species